rnacentral:rRNA from 1 species
AUUGAACGCUGGCGGCAUGCUUUACACAUGCAAGUCGAACGGUAACAGGUUAAGCUGACGAGUGGCGAACGGGUGAGUAAUGCAUCGGAACGUGCCCGGUCGUGGGGGAUAACGCAGCGAAAGCUGCGCUAAUACCGCAUACGAUCUGAGGAUGAAAGCGGGGACCGUAAGGCCUCGCGCGAUCGGAGCGGCCGAUGUCAGAUUAGGUAGUUGGUGGGGUAAAGGCUCACCAAGCCGACGAUCUGUAGCGGGUCUGAGAGAACGACCAGCCACCCUGGGACUGAGACACGGCCCAGACGCCUACGGGAGGCAGCAGUGGGGAAUUUUGGACAAUGGGCGCAAGCCUGAUCCAGCAAUGCCGCGUGCAGGAAGAAGGCCUUCGGGUUGUAAACUGCUUUUGUACGGAGCGAAAAGGCUCUCUCUAAUACAGGGGGCUCAUGACGGUACCGUAAGAAUAAGCACCGGCUAACUACGUGCCAGCCGCCGCAGUAA